rnacentral:snRNA from 1 species
GCCACGAUCCACUGAGAUU